rnacentral:lncRNA from 1 species
CAGUCCACCACUAUUACUGUCCCCACAAAUAAUUUUAGCUAUGACAUAGCUAAGAGUUUGUUCUCACGGUUCCAUAACACUUGGUUAUCAUAUAGAACAGCAUUUGAAGUAGUAUCUCCUCUUCGUUUGCAGGAUCUUCUUUCUACUCUUCAUAAGAGCUGAGAAGUCUGGAAUUCUCCACCUCAAAUCUACUGUUAGAAAGGGUUGCAGGUUUUAAAAAGGGCAAAUGCCUCAGGAAAAGUCUGGCUCUGAGAAGAGAGGGGCAGAUACAUGGCCUCCAGAAGUCACGGAGGAAAUGCAGGAAUAACAGCUUCGUGAUGAGAAAAGGAGCAAGACUGGCUGUGAAGAAGCCUGAGGGGGAGAGGAACCAAUUUGGGGAUAAAGUGAAAGUUUGGCGACCAUUAUCCGGUGGCGAAGGAAAGGCUAUUUCUGGUUUUAGGUGUCACACUGGGCUAUACCUUAAGCAAGAUACAUAAAGAAGAGCUUCUUCCUCUGACUUCUCCAAUAGUUCCAGCACUCAGUCCUGAAUAUUCUAUGUGAGUGAUGAUUAUUCACCUCUACAUUAAAUUCUUCUUUCUGAGGAGAACUGACAUGUGACCUCUCUAGUCAGCCAUCUUGAAAUUUAAAAAAUUUAGUUUUUUAUAUUUAUGGGAAGGCAAUAUGUGAUUAAUGAUAUGUUUAUAGAAAUGUUUGAUGUGUG